AAAUUGAAGAGUUUGAUCAUGGCUCAGAUUGAACGCUGGCGGCAGGCCUAACACAUGCAAGUCGAACGGUAACAGGAAUCAGCUUGCUGAUUCGCUGACGAGUGGCGGACGGGUGAGUAAUGUCUGGGAAACUGCCUGAUGGAGGGGGAUAACUACUGGAAACGGUAGCUAAUACCGCAUAACGUCGCAAGACCAAAGAGGGGGACCUUCGAGCCUCUUGCCAUCGGAUGUGCCCAGAUGGGAUUAGCUAGUAGGUGGGGUAACGGCUCACCUAGGCGACGAUCCCUAGCUGGUCUGAGAGGAUGACCAGCCACACUGGAACUGAGACACGGUCCAGACUCCUACGGGAGGCAGCAGUGGGGAAUAUUGCACAAUGGGCGCAAGCCUGAUGCAGCCAUGCCGCGUGUAUGAAGAAGGCCUUCGGGUUGUAAAGUACUUUCAGCGGGGAGGAAGGGAGUAAAGUUAAUACCUUU
rnacentral:rRNA from 1 species